rnacentral:rRNA from 1 species
UUAAAUUGAAGAGUUUGAUCAUGGCUCAGAUUGAACGCUGGCGGCAGGCCUAACACAUGCAAGUCGAACGGUAACAGGAAGCAGCUUGCUGCUUUGCUGACGAGUGGCGGACGGGUGAGUAAUGUCUGGGAAACUGCCUGAUGGAGGGGGAUAACUACUGGAAACGGUGGCUAAUACCGCAUAACGUCGCAAGACCAAAGAGGGGGACCUUCGGGCCUCUUGCCAUCAGAUGUGCCCAGAUGGGAUUAGCUUGUUGGUGAGGUAACGGCUCACCAAGGCGACGAUCCCUAGCUGGUCUGAGAGGAUGACCAGCCACACUGGAACUGAGACACGGUCCAGACUCCUACGGGAGGCAGCAGUGGGGAAUAUUGCACAAUGGGCGCAAGCCUGAUGCAGCCAUGCCGCGUGUAUGAAGAAGGCCUUCGGGUUGUAAAGUACUUUCAGCGGGGAGGAAGGUGUUGCGGUUAAUAACCGCAGCAAUUGACGUUACCCGCAGAAGAAGCACCGGCUAACUCCGUGCCAGCAGCCGCGGUAAUACGGAGGGUGCAAGCGUUAAUCGGAAUUACUGGGCGUAAAGCGCACGCAGGCGGUCUGUCAAGUCGGAUGUGAAAUCCCCGGGCUCAACCUGGGAACUGCAUUCGAAACUGGCAGGCUUGAGUCUUGUAGAGGGGGUAGAAUUCCAGGUGUAGCGGUGAAAUGCGUAGAGAUCUGGAGGAAUACCGGUGGCGAAGGCGGCCCCCUGGACAAAGACUGACGCUCAGGUGCGAAAGCGUGGGGAGCAAACAGGAUUAGAUACCCUGGUAGUCCACGCCGUAAACGAUGUCUACUUGGAGGUUGUGCCCUUGAGGCGUGGCUUCCGGAGCUAACGCGUUAAGUAGACCGCCUGGGGAGUACGGCCGCAAGGUUAAAACUCAAAUGAAUUGACGGGGGCCCGCACAAGCGGUGGAGCAUGUGGUUUAAUUCGAUGCAACGCGAAGAACCUUACCUGGUCUUGACAUCCACAGAACUUUCCAGAGAUGGAUUGGUGCCUUCGGGAACUGUGAGACAGGUGCUGCAUGGCUGUCGUCAGCUCGUGUUGUGAAAUGUUGGGUUAAGUCCCGCAACGAGCGCAACCCUUAUCCUUUGUUGCCAGCGGUCCGGCCGGGAACUCAAAGGAGACUGCCAGUGAUAAACUGGAGGAAGGUGGGGAUGACGUCAAGUCAUCAUGGCCCUUACGACCAGGGCUACACACGUGCUACAAUGGCGCAUACAAAGAGAAGCGACCUCGCGAGAGCAAGCGGACCUCAUAAAGUGCGUCGUAGUCCGGAUUGGAGUCUGCAACUCGACUCCAUGAAGUCGGAAUCGCUAGUAAUCGUGGAUCAGAAUGCCACGGUGAAUACGUUCCCGGGCCUUGUACACACCGCCCGUCACACCAUGGGAGUGGGUUGCAAAAGAAGUAGGUAGCUUAACCUUCGGGAGGGCGCUUACCACUUUGUGAUUCAUGACUGGGGUGAAGUCGUAACAAGGUAACCGUAGGGGAACCUGCGGUUGGAUCACCUCCUUACCUUAAAGAAGC